GAUCAGUGGCUCAGGACAACGCUGGCGGCGUGCUUAACACAUGCAAGUCGAACGAGAAGAGAUGAGAAGCUUGCUUCUUAUCGAUUCGAGUGGCAAACGGGUGAGUAACGCGUGAGGAACCUGCCUUUCAGAGGGGGGACAACAGUUGGAAACGACUGCUAAUACCGCAUGACACAUUGAGGUCGCAUGGCCUUAAUGUCAAAGAUUUAUCGCUGAAAGAUGGCCUCGCGUCUGAUUAGCUAGUUGGUGAGGUAACGGCCCACCAAGGCGACGAUCAGUAGCCGGACUGAGAGGUUGAACGGCCACAUUGGGACUGAGAUACGGCCCAGACUCCUACGGGAGGCAGCAGUGGGGAAUAUUGGGCAAUGGGCGCAAGCCUGACCCAGCAACGCCGCGUGAAGGAAGAAGGCUUUCGGGUUGUAAACUUCUUUUGUCAGGGACGAGUAGAAGACGGUACCUGACGAAUAAGCCACGGCUAACUACGUG
rnacentral:rRNA from 1 species